GCCUCUUCCUCUUUUUCAUUCAAAAUGGGAUUUGAAAAUGAGCAAAUUGAGCUGGAGCCCUCC
ensembl:ncRNA C01F4.5 ncRNA